CAGGGGGUAGUUUAAGUUUAGAAUAUCAGUUUUGGAGGCUGAUGAUGAGUUAGUACCUUCCCCUUGA
rnacentral:tRNA from 1 species